rnacentral:misc_RNA from 1 species
AGGAAUUACAGGUAUCAAUGUUUCAAACUUGUCUUGCUUUAAUAUGAUUGUUUUGUUUGGUUUGUUUAUGCACUGAUGUUUGACGUAAAAGAUACUUCUUAACGAUGAUCAGAUAAAGGGUCAAAAGCGCAAACUCUGUGAAGAUGAGAAUGUCUGCCCUUCUUCCAAAUCAGUGUAUACAUGACAAUCAGAAAGAAAGCAGUGAAUUCUGUCAACUUGAUUGUAUAAGUCUAUUUAGAGUUGUAGUUGCGAAUUUUUCCAUGAGUAUUGAUUCUUUUGAGAGGUAAAAGGAAAAAAAUUCUUAUGUUGGUUCACUUUGACAAUAUGAGCUCUGUAUCAUUGUCAGCUGAGGGAAUUGAUGAGCCACUUGAUCUGGUAGAAUGAAAUGACGAUAGCAUUCAAAUGUACCCUCUGCAUUUCUAGGUUUUUGACAUUUAAACCAUUUAAG